GGUGAAGGUGAAUCUGGACCAGACAGAGCCCAGGACUAGAGCCUCCUCCCUCGGCCCCAACACACAGACUGGACCUCUCCCUGGAAGACACUCUGAACAUGGAGAUGAUCUCUCUACGGGGCGGCUGGCCUUCACCAACCUGGUUAAUAUGGACUUUAUGGAUCUAAAGGUCCGAUUCCCCCCCGGCACCGUAGACGAUCAGACUCUGGCCAGUGACGGCGCAGACAGCGACCGCUUCAGUGGGAGUGUCUCCAGCUUCCUGGCCAAUGAGAAGCUCAUGUCUGUGGACAGCAUGAACAGUGAUGUCACAGAUGACGACGUCGACGUGAAACGACCUGCAG